rnacentral:rRNA from 1 species
UUACCGACUUGACAUUAUGGAAUUGGUUCGCCGACAGGUGUUGCAUGGCUGUCGUCAGCUCGUGUCGUGAGAUGUUGGGUUAAGUCCCGCAACGAGCGCAACCCCAUCUUAGUUACUAACAUAUGAGACUCUAAGAAACUGCCGGUGAUAACCGGAGGAAGGUGGGGAUGACGUCAAGUCAGCAUGGCCCUUACGUCGGGCUACACACGUGUUACAAUGGGUGACAUUAGGCAGGGCGACCGGAGCAAUCAUAAAGCACCUCAGUUCGGAUUGUACCCUGCAACUCGGGUACAUGAAGUUGGAAUCGCUAGUAAUCGUAAUCAGCACGUACGGUGAAUACGUUCCCGGGUCUUGUACACACUGCCCGUCACGCCAUGGGAGUUGAUUACCUAA